CGGACCGGCGCACGGGUGAGUAACACGUAUCCAACCUGCCGUCUACUCUUGGACAGCCUUCUGAAAGGAAGAUUAAUCCAGGGUGGGAUCAUGAGUUCACAUGUCCGCAUGAUUAAAGGUAUUUUCCGGUAGACGAUGGGGAUGCGUUCCAUUAGAUAGUAGGCGGGGUAACGGCCCACCUAGUCAACGAUGGAUAGGGGUUCUGAGAGGAAGGUCCCCCACAUUGGAACUGAGACACGGUCCAA
rnacentral:rRNA from 1 species